GCGGAUGUGCCAGGGAAACACACUCCUCGGCCUGGCUGCAGAGUUUUUUGUUGUUGUUGGUCUUUUUGUUUUUGUUUUUUAAGAAAGAGGGAAAGCCACAGGCACCAGGAGAGAGCGCGACACGCCGACCUGUUAUCGGUGGGUGCAUCGUGGGCUCUCCCAGCGUGGAGAGACGCAGGAGUUGCUAGAUGGUGCCUCUCUUUGGCGAGUGUGUGCUCUAGGCUCGCGGCGCGGACAGCCGUCUGCUCCUGGUCAUUGUCUGGACAGUCCCUGCGGCGGCGGCCGGGGGAUGCCCCCGCCCGGGUACCUGUGUGUGGUGAUGGGCGGCCACAGCCCUGUGCUGCUGCGGCCGCUGCUAUAUAAGGAAUUCCUCGUGCCUUUCGCACCCGGUGGCUCCGUGGGGCUCCCGCGGGGCGUUAAACGACGAGUUUUUAAGAAUGGGGGGUAAUAAAUGCGCCCCUGAUGGCAUCGAUGUGGCGUCCAGAGAACUAGGAAAUCCUGUUUAAGUGGCAACCCUGGCGCGCCCCCCGCGCCCCACCCCCGCCCGGUCUGUGUUGCUCCCUCCCCUCCGGGAUGCCAAACGCCAGGUUUUGUAACCUUUCCUGGCAAUUUUAGAUUUUGUGUGGGAUUUCCUGUCUAGAAGCAGAUAGGAAGAUUUUAGGCUGUUCCAAAGAGGAUUCCUCUCGGUUGUAAACACAUUUUGAAUAUAUCUGAGCCUACAUUAAAAUCCCCGCUGCCAUGAAUGAUUUUCAGUUGUUCAGAUAAACGUUGUGUUUCAGAGAAGCCUGUUCGUUCGGAGGGAAAGGUGUGUUGGGUAGCGUCAUUGUGGAGAGGUGACUGGUGGUGGCAAGGACCUGAGCACAGGCUACCGCAAUUGUAAUUUCCUGCUUCUAGCGUCAAAUAGUGUCUGUUCUACAUUGAGCUGUUGCCGCUGUCGCUGAUGUGGCUUUAUGAAAGGUAAGUUGGUUAGGAAGGGCUCUUCGCUGCCCUUACCUUAUUUAAAAUGUUGAUUGCCAGAGAAAGGGGCUUUUCUUGUUGCUGACGACAUGUGUGUGACAUGUGAGUCUGAACCACCCAGCGUCUGUGCAGCUGCUGUAAACAUGUUUACCUGAACAGGAAAGAAUGGAUUUUUCUCCUAGAGAUCCUGAGAUAUUAAUAUCACACACAUAAGGCAUAUCAACAGAUGACUUAAGGGUGGAAAGCGAUCCCGAAAGGUGCUUGAAAUCAACAGGAAGGAGAUUCUUGAUCGCUGCAGCAAAUGGCAACUUGUGCAGAAAAACAGAUUUGGGGCUCUUGAGCCUGAAAUGUCUUGACUGCAGUAUUCGUUACUCGGAGAAAACAAAAGGUGUGUGAGAUAGCGCUGUGCUACCACAGAAUACGGAUGACAGCAUCAAAAACUGUAACUUAACAAGGGUGUAGCAAUUGAGCAGGCUUGCCUAAAUCAUCGAACCUUGUGUGGGGACAUCACGGUAAUGAUGCUAGCCAUCUAAAGGAAUGGCAUUAGGAUUGUUGAAAUUGAUUUUUACUGUUUAUAAUUUAAUGCUUUGUUGUAUUUUGAAAUAUUUUUUAUUUUCCAAAGUUCUGUUCUGUUUGAUGUUUUCCUUCCCCCCCCCCUUUUAUUCUUGACAAAUGAGCUCUUGCUCCCAGUGGCUGCAUGCUGACUAAUUCACCUUAGAUGGAAUAGCAGGCACAUACCUUUCUAUCAUUAGCACCAUUUCUUCUUGCUGUCUUUAGAAACCACCAGUAGAGGAUGCUAACCAAAACGACUGCUGGUGCAGCAUCCUAAGCUUGCUGGUCCUCUCUGCUGAUGGGGAAUCUUCUGUGUCCUUCUGAGUCUUCCAACAAGACUAAGUGUCUUCUAGUUUACUGACACUAGAAAGAGGGAGGAAUGUGUUCACGUGAAUGUAUUUACAAAUUAAAGCUCCAAAAUCUUGAAAUUGGAGCUUUCUGGUAUUACAUUAAAGCAGUUAUAUUUAUAUUAUAAAAACUUUGGUUUUAGACUUGGGCAAGAAAAUGCAGUGAUUACGUAUAUUUAUUUUGCAUAUUCAUCACCAUACUUUUAAACCUUUUGUUGUUGUUGUUGUUCAUAGUAGGAGUCUUGAAAAACACAUUUUCAAAUGUUAAAGAUGUCCAUGGUUAGGUAUGGUAAAAGAAAUUUCAGUUAAGUGACAGUACUGGGUAGUAAGUUCUCAUAACUCGAGUAAACUUAAGACUGUAGAUGGGUUGGGAGACUAAAGUAGAUGCUAGUCAUCUGUUGUUGGUUGUAGACUUUGAUGUUAUCCUUUGUCCUGUAAAUCUCCUUAUCACUUAAUGGUGGCUCAUUCUCAUCCCAUGCAUACCUUUAGUGAAGAAUCUGGCAGCAUAUUAACUUUGAGUUUACCAGUUAUAAAUUAAUAAAUACAAGUUUUUUUUAGGCUUUAACAAUUUGUUAAUUGAUUGGUUAUAUUCAAAUAAUUACCACUUUAAGCAAA